rnacentral:rRNA from 1 species
UGCAGUCGAACGAUGAAGCCCAGCUUGCUGGGUGGAUUAGUGGCGAACGGGUGAGUAACACGUGAGUAACCUGCCCUUGACUCUAGGAUAAGCCCGGGAAACUGGGUCUAAUACUGGAUAGGAACGUCUACCGCAUGGUGGAUGUUGGAAAGAAUUUCGGUCAUGGAUGGACUCGCGGCCUAUCAGCUUGUUGGUGAGGUAAUGGCUCACCAAGGCGACGACGGGUAGCCGGCCUGAGAGGGUGACCGGCCACACUGGGACUGAGACACGGCCCAGACUCCUACGGGAGGCAGCAGUGGGGAAUAUUGCACAAUGGGCGAAAGCCUGAUGCAGCGACGCCGCGUGAGGGAUGACGGCCUUCGGGUUGUAAACCUCUUUCAGUAGGGAAGAAGCGAAAGUGACGGUACCUGCAGAAGAAGCACCGGCUAACUACGUGCCAGCAGCCGCGGUAAUACGUAGGGUGCGAGCGUUAUCCGGAAUUAUUGGGCGUAAAGAGCUCGUAGGCGGUUUGUCGCGUCUGUCGUGAAAGUCCGGGGCUUAACCCCGGAUCUGCGGUGGGUACGGGCAGACUAGAGUGCAGUAGGGGAGACUGGAAUUCCUGGUGUAGCGGUGGAAUGCGCAGAUAUCAGGAGGAACACCGAUGGCGAAGGCAGGUCUCUGGGCUGUAACUGACGCUGAGGAGCGAAAGCAUGGGGAGCGAACAGGAUUAGAUACCCUGGUAGUCCAUGCCGUAAACGUUGGGCACUAGGUGUGGGGAACAUUCCACGUUUUCCGCGCCGCAGCUAACGCAUUAAGUGCCCCGCCUGGGGAGUACGGCCGCAAGGCUAA